rnacentral:lncRNA from 1 species
GGAAAGACUUCUUUCAUCGAGUUGACCUCUGUCCUUGUUCUCUUGCCAGUGGGUCCUAUCUUCUCCCUGAAUCUGAGAGUUGUCUUUGUAUAUGUUUUUCUCUUGUCCUUUUUUCUGCUGGUCUCUACUGGUCUCUUUUCUCUCUAUUGGUCUGUUGAUUCUCCCAGUUCAGUUUUCCUCUGCCAGUCUGUUGAUUCUCUACUGGUCCCUUCCUCUCUACCAAUCCGUUGAUUCUCUAAAUAUCUCCCUUCUAUUUUUAGACUUCAGCCUGCCAAACCUGCAUGUCUACUUGUUUGGAGUGCUGGAGCGUCACGCGGGGGCUGCUCCUGGUGUCAGAGAUUGAUUUGAGAAUCCCAGGCAGUUUGGGAUCUCAGAAGUGGGGCUAACAG